rnacentral:rRNA from 1 species
CCUACGGGUGGCUGCAGUGGGGAAUAUUGCACAAUGGGCGCAAGCCUGAUGCAGCCAUGCCGCGUGUGUGAAGAAGGCCUUCGGGUUGUAAAGCACUUUCAGCGGGGAGGAAGGCGGUGAGGUUAAUAACCUCAUCGAUUGACGUUACCCGCAGAAGAAGCACCGGCUAACUCCGUGCCAGCAGCCGCGGUAAUACGGAGGGUGCAAGCGUUAAUCGGAAUUACUGGGCGUAAAGCGCACGCAGGCGGUCUGUCAAGUCGGAUGUGAAAUCCCCGGGCUCAACCUGGGAACUGCAUUCGAAACUGGCAGGCUAGAGUCUUGUAGAGGGGGGUAGAAUUCCAGGUGUAGCGGUGAAAUGCGUAGAGAUCUGGAGGAAUACCGGUGGCGAAGGCGGCCCCCUGGACAAAGACUGACGCUCAGGUGCGAAAGCGUGGGGAGCAGACAGGAUUAGAUACCCGAGUAGUC